rnacentral:ncRNA from 1 species
UCAAAUGCGAUGAAAGAGAAAAGUAGGCAGUUGAAGCUGAUAAAAGAGAGAAGAUAUCACCGGCUGAGAGUAUCUUCAUCAAGCAAACUGUUGAAGUUCCCUCUUGAGCAGCAUCCUGAACGUAUUACCGGUACAGCGGUAAUUUAUCAGUAGGAGAUGCCGGUUGGCGACCGUUAAAAGCUUAAGAGAGCUUAUAUACUUUAAGUAUAUAAGAAUACGGGUGGUAACGCGGAAUAUGCUUUCGUCCCUUUU